GCGGCCGCGUCGUCGUGAGAUGUUGGGUUAAGUCCCGCAACGAGCGNAACCCCUAUCUUAUGUUGCCAGCACUUCGGGUGGGAACUCAUGAGAGACUGCCGCAGACAAUGCGGAGGAAGGCGGGGAUGACGUCAAAUCAUCAUGCCCCUUAUGACCUGGGCGUACACACGUACUACAAAUGGGAGGUUAAUAGACGGAAGCAAUACCGCGAGGUGGAGCAAACCCGACGAAAACACUCUCUCAGUUCGGAUCGUAGGCUGCAACUCGCCUACGUGAAGUCGGAAUCGCUAGUAAUCGCAGGUCAGCAUACUGCGGUGAAUACGUUCCCGGGCCUUGUACACACCGCCGUCGACGCGGCCG
rnacentral:rRNA from 1 species